rnacentral:rRNA from 1 species
GCUUAGAAGCAGCCAUCAUUUAAAGAAAGCGUAAUAGCUCACUGGUCGAGUCGGCCUGCGCGGAAGAUGUAACGGGGCUAAACCAUGCACCGAAGCUGCGGCAGCGACACUUAGGUGUUGUUGGGUAGGGGAGCGUUCUGUAAGCCGUUGAAGGUGGCCUGUGAGGGUUGCUGGAGGUAUCAGAAGUGCGAAUGCUGACAUAAGUAACGAUAAAGCGGGUGAAAA